rnacentral:rRNA from 1 species
ACCUCGGAUCAGGUAGGAAUACCCGCUGAACUUAAGCA